UACAGAGGUCUCAAGCGUUGUUCGGAUUCAUUGGGCGUAAAGGGUGUGUAGGUGGCGCCGUAAGUCGGGUGUGAAAUUUCGGAGCUUAACUCCGAAACUGCAUUCGAUACUGCCGUGCUUGAGGACUGGAGAGGAGACUGGAAUUUACGGUGUAGCGGUGAAAUGCGUAGAUAUCGUAAGGAAGACCAGUGGCGAAGGCGGGUCUCUGGACAGUUCCUGACGCUGAGGCACGAAGGUCAGGGGAGCAAACGGG
rnacentral:rRNA from 1 species